GAUGAACGCUGGCGGCGUGCCUAAUACAUGCAAGUCGAGCGAACAGAUGAGGAGCUUGCUCCUCUGACGUUAGCGGCGGACGGGUGAGUAACACGUGGAUAACCUACCUAUAAGACUGGGAUAACUUCGGGAAACCGGAGCUAAUACCGGAUAAUAUAUUGAACCGCAUGGUUCAAUAGUGAAAGACGGUUUUGCUGUCACUUAUAGAUGGAUCCGCGCCGCAUUAGCUAGUUGGUAAGGUAACGGCUUACCAAGGCGACGAUGCGUAGCCGACCUGAGAGGGUGAUAGGCCACACGGGAACUGAGACACGGUCCAGACUCCUACGGGAGGCAGCAGUAGGGAAUCUUCCGCAAUGGGCGAAAGCCUGACGGAGCAACGCCGCGUGAGUGAUGAAGGUCUUCGGAUCGUAAAACUCUGUUAUUAGGGAAGAACAAAUGUGUAAGUAACUAUGCACGUCUUGACGGUACCUAAUCAGAAAGCCACGGCUAACUACGUG
rnacentral:rRNA from 1 species